UUAGUAGCGGCGAGUGAAGCGGCAAAAGCUCAAAUUUGAAAUCUGGCGCCUUUGGUGUCCGAGUUGUAAUUUGAAGAAGGUAACUUUUGAGUGGGUCCUUGCUUAUGUUCCUUGGAACAGGACGUCAUAGAGGGUGAGAAUCCCGUAUGGCGAGGCAACCUAUUCAAUGUAAAGUGCUUUCGAAGAGUCGAGUUGUUUGGGAAUGCAGCUCUAAGUGGGUGGUAAAUUCCAUCUAAAGCUAAAUAUUGGCGAGAGACCGAUAGCGAACAAGUACAGUGAUGGAAAGAUGAAAAGAACUUUGAAAAGAGAGUGAAAAAGUACGUGAAAUUGUUGAAAGGGAAGGGCUUGAGAUCAGACUUGGUAUUCAGUGAUCAACUUUCUUUCGGGAAUGUGCACUCGCUGUUUACUGGGCCAGUAUCGGUUUUGACGGUGGGAUAAUGAUAUAGGAAUGUGGCUUUUCGGAGUGUUAUAGCCUAUGUUGAUACCACCAGUCGGGACCGAGGACCGCGCUUUU
rnacentral:rRNA from 1 species